UACGUAGGGUGCAAGCGUUGUCCGGAAUUAUUGGGCGUAAAGGGCUCGUAGGCGGUCCGUCACGUCGGGAGUGAAAACUUGGGGCUUAACCCCAAGCCUGCUUCCGAUACGGGCAGACUAGAGGUAUGCAGGGGAGAACGGAAUUCCUGGUGUAGCGGUGGAAGUGCGCAGAUAUCAGGAGGAACACCGGUGGCGAAGGCGGUUCUCUGGGCAUUACCUGACGCUGAGGAGCGAAAGCAUGGGGAGCGAACAGG
rnacentral:rRNA from 1 species